AGGGCGGUGGCUCAAUUGGUAGAGCAGCGGUCUCCAAAACCGCAGGUUGCAGGUUCGAGUCCUGUCCGCCCUGC
rnacentral:tRNA from 32 species